CUCAGGACAGAGCAGACUAUGCUGACAGUUUUCUGGCAGCUGCUUUUGCGUCUCACCUGGCUGCUGGACAUAGGAGUUCACGAGCAUUUCCUGGGUGACUGCCAGGGAGCUGUUGUGGGUUUGGGGGUGACUCCCAGGAGCUUACACAUGAAUGGAUAGGGUUUCUCUCUCUGCCACCCAGGCCAGAGUGCAGUUGACGCAGGGCAGGGGAGCCCUGAAAUGGAGCAUAGUGUGUCUGGAACUGGUGGGUUCUUGGUCUCACUGACUUCAAGAAUGAAGCCACGGACCCUUGCGGUAGAAGUUGCUGGUCCCAUCUUGCUCACAAUCCUCCAAAGUUUGGAAGUUACUUUCCAGGAGACUUAGCUUGCACUGACAGCUGCCCUCCCACCCUCUCUCCAAAUUUCCUCUUGGGGGUAGCCUAACAAGUUGCUGUCACAGACCCUUGCCAGCCACGAUGACCCCACCCAGACCAUUCCUCUGCUGUUUCACUCUUUGAUACUCUGGAGCUCUCUGGGGAGGGGUGAGACCUGCUGUCUGGUUUGUAUGGUUUGCCCAGGUCUUACAGUCAUGGCUGGCUGCCUCUCUCUGAGAACUGGGACUCCUGAACUUGGUGAAAUACUUCAGCCAUCGAUCAUGUUAAAUUAUUGGGGACACUCAUUUAAAAUCCGAGUCUGCUCCAGAUGGACUCUCUCUCUUUCUGCCCAGACCGUGAGAGAGAGACCGUGAGAGAGAGAAAGAGAGAGAGAGAGAGACCGUGUCCUGACCUGCUGGACGGUGGAGAUGCUCGUGGGCUGUGAGCAACAGAUGCAAAGGCUGCCGGGAGUCCCAUCUUUCCAGCAUCAUCUGCCAAAGCACAUCAGUUCCUGGGUGUCUUGAUGGGUUCUGGCAGCAUUACUGUCAUUGAAGGAAAACAUUUUAGCCAUAUUAAAGGUGAAUGCAGCAAUCCCCACACAGGCUGCCUGGAAGGGACGCGGGACAAGGGUAGGUUUUCUCUGUGAUGGACAGGAGGCAGGCGGCCCUCCGACAGCCCUGCCUGGCAAUACAGAUGUGUUCCAAAAAGGCACUGGAGGUCAGCUGGAGUGCUGUGCCAAGGCGGGCUCACCCAGGCCGUGGGUUCGCUCUGAUUGCAGCGGUUUCCCACCAGCUCCUUGGAGAGCUGGCAGAUGACCCAGCCCCACGGCAGGAGCUGUGAAUAGCAGAAUGAGAUGCAACAAUUUGAUAUCCACUUGCCAGAUGAGCCGGGUGUCGUCAGUCGCCUGGCUCUGCGCCAACCUCUUUUUGCACAAACACUUAUGAAUUCAGCCAGGAGGAAAAGCACUCUGAUUAUGAAUUGAGCAGAAAGAAACAAAGUUCUGCAGAUAAACACCAAUGAGACAAAAAACCACGAAUAAGAAAAAUGACAGAAAAGGAGAACCUUCCCAGAAGCCUCCUGCCAGUGAACGGCCACCAUAGCAAGAGCAUGGAGGCCCUGGGUUUUGAAAUGUGAGAUAAGGAAGAUGAUGAAAACCUCCCUAGCAGCCAGGCAAGCACAAGAUUCCUGUGAAAUCCAGAUCUAAUCGUUUUGACCACAGAAGUAAUAUGUCAUAGAUGAGAGCUGUGAGUUGCUGAACCCAAAGUGAGUUCAAAUCCGAGCUCUGCCUCCUGCUACCUGUGUGACUUUGAGAAGUUCCAGCACUGCUUUGUGCCUCAGUUUUGUCAUCUGUUAAAUGGGCAUAAUCACAGCUCUUGCCUCAGAGUUGUUGUAAAUUAAUGCAUGUAAAGCACUGAAAUCAUCCUGGUAUACAGUAAUUGUUAUGAACGUUAUUUUCUUGGAAGGACAGAACUUAUUUUCAUGGUCUAAUCCUAAAAGUCUAAAAAAUGUGAGAGAAGAGGAAAGAAUCUAGAGUCUCACCAUGAGGGGGAAAAGUAAACUUGAAGCAGGACAGGGUCAUUGGCAAUUCCUGUGAUUCUACAGCUGCCUUGUACACUAUGGUAGCUCCCAGCCACUUGUUGUUUAGAUUUUGUGAUUUAGAAAUGAAUUAAGGACGGGCAUGGUGGCUUACACCUGUAAUCCCAGCAUUUUGGGAGGCCAAGUUGGGCAGAUCACCUGAGGUCAGGUGUUCAAGAUCAGCCUGGCCAACAUGGUGAAAUCUCGUCUCUACAAAAAUACAAAAAUUAGCCGGGCAUGAUGGCGCGUUCCUGUAAUCCUGGCUACUCAGGAGGCUGAGGCAGGAAAACUGCUUGAACUCGGGAGAUGGAGGUUGCAGUGAGAUGAGAUUGCACCACUGCACUACAGCCUGGAGGACAGAGUGAGACUCUGUCUC